rnacentral:misc_RNA from 1 species
CUUUCAGUGGCAUUUUAGAAGCUGUAAUUUCACUAACUGUUUACAACUUCUUUAUUCUUUCCAUGUGACAUUUUGGUACCGAGGCUAUAGUAGCCUCAGAUACCACUGAAACUGAACUUCACGGAACGAGCUAUUUAUGGCGAUUGGACAGAAGGACUGUGCGCAAAAACGCAGCAUUAAAAACAGUGCGCCAAAACGCACCCAAACGAACAUUCAUUGGACAUGAAAAUGUUGUGUUUCACGUGCAAGAGGAACUUAACAUGUUACGCUACUGUGGUUUUGUGUUCAGUAGUGCAAAAGUUGUCAGGUGGCAACAUGUGCGUAUAGUUUAGUCCCAAGACGGGAAUUUAGGAUAGAAAUGUUGUUGUAAAACAAUAUAGUAAAUUAGUUCAAAUAUAAAAAGUGAACUUAUCAACAAUAAGUGGCGAAACAUUGUAAAUUGUAGAAAAUAGUAUGAUAAUUUAAUAUUGUGGUUUGUGCAAAUUCAACGUAUUUUGUUUUCUACAUGCAUGUCCAGUGUAUUAUAAAAAUUUAUUCUCAUGUACGUGUUUAUGUUGCGCUACAACUAUCCCUCGUAAGGUUUCAAAUUCCCCCUCUGCGCAUGCGCACGGGAGCCCCCUUUUUACCCAUAAGCCCCGUGUCUCUCCAUUCCUCUCCCAAAGCUAGAAGGACAACAACACUCGCUACAAAAUUGCCAUAAUACCUUUAUUGUGAUCAACUGCCGCUUGCACAGACCACCUCCUGCAUGUCAGCAAGGUACCUAAAACACCGACAAUGGCACCGAAACGGACGUCAAGGAGAACCAGGGCAGCUGUUCCUGUCGAAAAUGUUUCAUCCGCAACAAGUGGAACUUCCGACAACAGUCGCCAUGUUGGGUCACAGGUCAGAGCGAGUGCGACAGGCAGAGCCGUCCCUUACGAGACAACAGUUGACCUGAGACAGAGGCUGCGCUCCUUAGGUAUCACAGUGCCUGCAUCGUGGGGAAGAAAGACGAUCCUACAACUGUACAAGGAAAACUUUAACGAGAACCACACGGUCAGUGGAGGGGCCAGCGCUGUUCAACAUUCCUCCCCCGUUUCGGCAUUGUCGUCUGUACAUGCUGUUCCUUCCUGUGACGUUACUCCCCAGUAUGUAAACAGCGGGAAUUCUGACAGCUCUACUAGCAUUCCGGCAACAGUGACAACAGCAAGCAACCAGUUAUCGUCAGCAAAUGUGGAAUUGGUGGGAGUCAUGCGGGAAAUGAGGGACAUGAUGACAUCCCUCACCCAACGUCUAUCCUCUGGAGCUCCCAGUGGAGAAAACAUAGCCUGGCCUACAUCACAGACAAAUCCAACGCAAUGUGUUCUGUCAGAUUCCGUGCCCCAUGUCAACUUUGUUGACGAAAGUACAAGGCGUAAAAUUCACCAAGAUUGCCAGAUUUCGGAAACUUGCUCCACAUGCGGCACCACAAGCAACACCAUGUCCACAACACUCACAGUUGAUAUGGGUCUGGCAAGACACCUAGACACUCUAUGGGAUGCUGCAGUGGCGGCCAGAACCAAGACCACCUAUGCUUCUGGCUUUCAGUCAUACGUUGCCUUUCUCCUGAGAUAUAGCCUGUACUCUACAUGCUCAAGCCUCACAUGGGCAGCACAAGGUCUGCCACCAGUUAAUUGGCACUUCUGCAACAAUAUGUGGCCUUUUGUUUCGGUGAGGCAAAACUACAGUAUGUCACUGUCAAAUCCUAUCUCGCGGGUAUUCGGUUUACCUAUCUGAAGGCAGGUGUACAUACAGUGUUCGAUUCAGUGUCUACUGGUGGUCUAAAUCAGCUACGAACCCUACUUCAUGGAUACAAGAAGCUACAACAACAGGGUGUGCCCAAACGCUUACCCAUAACCUACGAUGUUUUGAAGAAGAUUGUGUGUACACUACGCAAAGGGGUGCUCGGACCUCUCAAUGAUCUGGUAAUGGAGGUCAUGUGCACCACUGCCUUCUUUGGUUUUCUACGAUGUGCCGAGUUCACAUGUUCUCGUGACUUCGAUGCUAGUACCAAUUUAAGUCUAUCUGAUGUCACCAUCGACCAUAAUACAGGAAAGUGUACUCUCGUGCUCAAAGCUUCAAAGACAGAUAUUUUUAGACAGGGCGUAGUCAUUACCUUGUUUGCCAACCAAUCUCCCAUUUGCCCUUUUGCCAAUUUGAACCGCUUAAAGCAAGUAAGACUAUAACAUGGUGCUAGGGACAGUGAUCCUCUGUUUGUUGACUGUGUUGGAAAAGCCAUAUCCCGUACCAUGUUCCUGCAAUGGCUCAACAUGACCAUGAAACAUGCACACCUUGACGCAGCUAAAUACUCUGGACACUCUUUUCGCAUAGGGGCAGCGACCUCCGCUGCAACUGUUCGUAUGGAAGAUCACCUCAUAAAAACACUGGGCAGGUGGCAGUCAGACUGUUUUACACGUUAUAUUCGGACCCCAGAGGACGUUAUUAAGAAUGCUCAGUUGUCUUUAAUUUCUUGUCCAUAAUACCCAGUACAGGGACAUCUCUGAUCAGCUGCGUUGAAUUGGUUGUGUUGGUCAUUCCUUUUGUACGAUGUUGAUGUAUCUUGUGAUCCCUCUCUAUAUUGUUGCACACAAUGUACCUUCCUUACCACACCUAGCACAACUUGGGGGCACUCACUCUUGUAAGGGGGUACCCUUCCAAUCACUUGCUUUGGGCUAUUUCCACUCAUCUAGAGUGUCCUUUUCUCCCCCAAGUCCAAACCAGAGCUCAGGUCGCAGCCCCGGUCCGCAGACCACCGUCCGAGCCGCCACAGCGGCCCCAGGACCCUCGCCUAGCUCUCGGUCGUCCCUCUCCUUGUAAAUAAGCUAGCACCAAAGGUCCGCAGACCACCGUCCGAGCCGCCGCAGCGGCCCCAGGACCCUCGCUUAGCUCUCGGUCGUCCCUCUCCUUGUAAAUAAGCUAGCACCAGAGCUCAGGUUGCAGCCCCGGUCCGCAGACCACCGUCCAAGCCUCAUAGCGGCUCCAGGACAGCACCUAGCUCUCGAUCAGCCCUCCUCUGUGAUAAAAUCAGUCAGCUCCCAAGUUCGUGCCAAAACCAUUAUAUGUAUGUGUUUGUUAUAAUGUACAUUAAAUAUUUUUGCAUUCUACCUCAUUGCUUGUUGUGUUUGCACAAAAUGAUAAUUUAAUAUUGUGGUUUGUGCAAAUUCAACGUAUUUUGUUUUCUACAUGCAUGUCCAGUGUAUUAUAAAAAUUUAUUCUCAUGUACGUGUUUAUGUUGCGCUACAACUAUCCCUCGUAAGGUUUCAAAUUCCCCCUCUGCGCAUGCGCACGGGAGCCCCCUUUUUACCCAUAAGCCCCGUGUCUCUCCAUUCCUCUCCCAAAGCUAGAAGGACAACAACACUCGCUACAAAAUUGCCAUACCCGCCAGCCCACCCUCUCUUCACCGGCUUAGGUGCUCACCUUUGUACCAUUUUGCUGCUGCUUUGUAAAUAUGUACAGUUUUCAAUUUUGCCUUUUAUUGUCAGGGGCUGACUGAUUGGCCUAUCAUUGGCCAGGCUAUUUCCACUCAUCUAGAGUGUCCUUUUCUCCCCCAAGUCCAAACCAGAGCUCAGGUCGCAGCCCCGGUCCGCAGACCACCGUCCGAGCCGCCGCAGCGGCCCCAGGACCCUCGCCUAGCUCUCGGUCGUCCCUCUCCUUGUAAAUAAGCUAGCACCAAAGGUCCGCAGACCACCGUCCGAGCCGCCGCAGCGGCCCCAGGACCCUCGCUUAGCUCUCGGUCGUCCCUCUCCUUGUAAAUAAGCUAGCACCAGAGCUCAGGUUGCAGCCCCGGUCCGCAGACCACCGUCCAAGCCUCAUAGCGGCUCCAGGACAGCACCUAGCUCUCGAUCAGCCCUCCUCUGUGAUAAAAUCAGUCAGCUCCCAAGUUCGUGCCAAAACCAUUAUAUGUAUGUGUUUGUUAUAAUGUACAUUAAAUAUUUUUGCAUUCUA